GAAGGUCAUACAAAAGACCUGAGCUACGCAAAGAUACCUUCUUAUACUGACAGUAGCUAGAAUGGAGUGAAUGAAGCACCUGUGUCAAGUCCACCUGGUUCUCACAGCCUUUCCAGUUUAUUACAGCUGUAUGAACUCCUCAUAUUGACCGAGUAUGUACAAAUAUGCAUGUAGACAUAUAUUAUCCUUCAGCUGAUUCGAAUAACUUCGGCUCACGAAUAAGUAUCUCAGCAGCUCUCGAGUGAUGGUAAUAGCGGAGCUAAAGGUGUCUUAUCUAAAGGGAACCCUGACAGAAAACUGGAAUCUCAGCCACUGCGCACAAGAAAGUCGUUGAUGUGCUCAGACAAUGUACUUCAGGGAAACCCCAGGAUGACAUUCUUGGAGAGCCUGAUCACUGCAAUGAUCUCAGCAUGAAGGACGUUCUCGUAUAGAUCCUAUAGAUCCUCUUGGCCUCACCAUUCAGGAUGAGCAAAUGCAUCUUCUCUGCCCGGGAAAAGGAAGUAGAAAAAGAAGCAGUUAUGUGGGAAUUAAUUUGCCUGGAAUGAGAGAGACAACGCUGAGUUCACUGCUGUUCCAGAUCCAUUCUGCAUGCCUGUGAAAAGCAGAGUUAAUACUACAGGCACCUACUGCGUCUUGAAGGGAUCUUUGGCAAGGAAAGCAUCUGCUACUUUCCGACUGGCAUUUAGCUCAACUUGAGCAUCUCCACAUGAAGCUAUUAAUUUGUGGAGCAAAAAGACUGCAAGAAGCAAACCACCACAGG